GUGAGGAAUAUUGGUCAAUGGGCGAGAGCCUGAACCAGCCAAGUCGCGUGAAGGAAGAAGGAUCUAUGGUUCGUAAACUUCUUUUGCAGGGGAAUAAAGUGCGGGACGUGUCCUGUUUUGUAUGUACCCUGAGAAUAAGGAUCGGCUAACUCCGUGCCAGCAGCCGCGGUAAUACGGAGGAUCCGAGCGUUAUCCGGAUUUAUUGGGUUUAAAGGGUGCGUAGGUGGUUUGAUAAGUCAGCGGUGAAAGUUUGCAGCUUAACUGUAAAAAUGCCGUUGAAACUGUCGGACUUGAGUGUAAAUGAGGUAGGCGGAAUGCGUGGUGUAGCGGUGAAAUGCAUAGAUAUCACGCAGAACUCCGAUUGCGAAGGCAGCUUACUAAGCUACAACUGACACUGAAGCACGAAAGCGUGGGGAUCAAACAGGAUUAGAUACCCAUGUAGUCC
rnacentral:rRNA from 1 species